rnacentral:rRNA from 1 species
UACGUAGGGUCCAAGCGUUGUCCGGAUUUAUUGGGCGUAAAGAGCUCGUAGGUGGUUCGCUAAGUCGGAUGUGAAAACUCGGGGCUCAACCCCGAGACGCCAUCCGAUACUGGCGUGACUUGAGUCUGGUAGGGGAGAUCGGAAUUCCUGGUGUAGCGGUGAAAUGCGUAGAUAUCAGGAGGAACACCUGCGGUGUAGACGGCUUUCUGGACCAUUACUGACACUGAGACACGAAAGCGUGGGUAGCAAACAGG